CCCUUAGAUGUCCUGGGCCGCACGCGCGUUACACUGAUGCAUUCAACGAGCUUAUAACCUUGGCCGAGAGGCCUGGGCAAUCUUGUUAACGUGCAUCGUGAUAGGGAUAGAUUAUUGAAAUUAUUAAUCUUGAACGAGGAAUUCCUAGUAAACGCAGAUCAUCAAUCUGCAUGGAUUACGUCCCUGCCCUUUGUACACACCGCCCGUCGCACCUACCGAUUGGAUGGUCCGGUGAAGCCUCGGGAUUGUGGUUCUUGCCGCUUUAUUGUGGCGUGACCGCGAGAACUUGUCUAAACCUUAUCAUCUAGAGGAAGGUGAAGUCGUAACA
rnacentral:rRNA from 1 species